GGCUGGUUAGCUCAGUUGGUUAGAGCGUGGUGCUGACAACACCAAGGCCACGGUUCAAUCCCCGCUCGAUCCC
rnacentral:tRNA from 1 species